GAUGAACGCUGGCGGCGUGCCUAAUACAUGCAAGUCGAGCGAACGGACGAGAAGCUUGCUUCUCUGAUGUUAGCGGCGGACGGGUGAGUAACACGUGGAUAACCUACCUAUAAGACUGGGAUAACUUCGGGAAACCGGAGCUAAUACCGGAUAAUAUUUUGAACCGCAUGGUUCAAAAGUGAAAGACGGUCUUGCCGUCACUUAUAGAUGGAUCCGCGCUGCAUUAGCUAGUUGGUAAGGUAACGGCUUACCAAGGCAACGAUGCAUAGCCGACCUGAGAGGGUGAUCGGCCACACUGGAACUGAGACACGGUCCAGACUCCUACGGGAGGCAGCAGUAGGGAAUCUUCCGCAAUGGGCGAAAGCCUGACGGAGCAACGCCGCGUGAGUGAUGAAGGUCUUCGGAUCGUAAAACUCUGUUAUUAGGGAAGAACAUAUGUGUAAGUAACUGUGCACAUCUUGACGGUACCUAAUCAGAAAGCCACGGCUAACUACGUGCCAGCAGCCGCGGUAAUACGUAGGUGGCAAGCGUUAUCCGGAAUUAUUGGGCGUAAAGCGCGCGUAGGCGGUUUUUUAAGUCUGAUGUGAAAGCCCGCGGCUCAACCGUGGAGGGUCAUUGGAAACUGGAAAACUUGAGUGCAGAAGAGGAAAGUGGAAUUCCAUGUGUAGCGGUGAAAUGCGCAGAGAUAUGGAGGAACACCAGUGGCGAAGGCGACUUUCUGGUCUGUAACUGACGCUGAUGUGCGAAAGCGUGGGGAUCAAACAGGAUUAGAUACCCUGGUAGUCCACGCCGUAAACGAUGAGUGCUAAGUGUUAGGGGGUUUCCGCCCCUUAGUGCUGCAGCUAACGCAUUAAGCACUCCGCCUGGGGAGUACGACCGCAAGGUUGAAACUCAAAGGAAUUGACGGGGACCCGCACAAGCGGUGGAGCAUGUGGUUUAAUUCGAAGCAACGCGAAGAACCUUACCAAAUCUUGACAUCCUUUGACAACUCUAGAGAUAGAGCUUUCCCCUUCGGGGGACAAAGUGACAGGUGGUGCAUGGUUGUCGUCAGCUCGUGUCGUGAGAUGUUGGGUUAAGUCCCGCAACGAGCGCAACCCUUAAGCUUAGUUGCCAUCAUUAAGUUGGGCACUCUAAGUUGACUGCCGGUGACAAACCGGAGGAAGGUGGGGAUGACGUCAAAUCAUCAUGCCCCUUAUGAUUUGGGCUACACACGUGCUACAAUGGACAAUACAAAGGGCAGCGAAACCGUGAGGUCAAGCAAAUCCCAUAAAGUUGUUCUCAGUUCGGAUUGUAGUCUGCAACUCGACUACAUGAAGCUGGAAUCGCUAGUAAUCGUAGAUCAGCAUGCUACGGUGAAUACGUUCCCGGGUCU
rnacentral:rRNA from 1 species